CACGUUAGCUUCCAGUAUUAACAACCGGUAGGUAGUUUCAAAGACAACUUCUAUGAUUUCACUUUACACGGGAUCAAUACAAAUCAAGAAGGCUGGUUCCAGUCGAGCGCGAAUUUACAUUCGCAGCGUCUACCGAAAUUUCACCACAGGGAUAACCUAAUUCUGAGCACGGCUAUUAUACAGCCGUAUACUUUUACCACGGAUGGUAACAGGAAGAGCGCGGUCAUACGACCUGCACCUCUUUGUACUGGAUAGACAGGUAACCCAAAUUAACGGCACGGCUAUACGGCCGUACACUUUUAAUUCAGGAAGGGUUUCAGAGCGCGGUACUACAACCGGCACGUCUGAGGUAAAUUAUUCAACGGGGCGGGUGUCAGAGCGCGAUUUACAAUCGCUAACGUCUGACCAGGAAACAGGAAAGAAUUUCUUAGGAUCAGAAAAACAAUUCUUAAGUGCGAUUUACAUUAUAUCACUUUUGAUGUACAUCCAAAGUGAAUCACUCAGAGUGAAAUCAUCCAGGAUGAUCAUCCUCGUUUACAUAUUUUCAUCCAGUUUGCUGGUUUCACAGUGUCAGUGAAAAGUGAAAGGCUAGUGUAGGGGCGAUGUCUCGUGCUCGUUCAAGAAGGAAUCAAAAAAAAUUACGCAGAGGCAUUGCGUUAAUUUCACAUGGACUGCUACAUGAAGUUAACGCAAUGUUAUCGACACGUAAACGUGCUCAAAGACGUUGGUGGG